CGUGAGUAACCUGCCUUGGAGUGGGGAAUAACACAGUGAAAACUGUGCUAAUACCGCAUAAUGCAUUUGGGUCGCAUGAUUCUGAAUGCCAAAGAUUUAUCGCUCUGAGAUGGACUCGCGUCUGAUUAGCUAGUUGGCGGGGUAACGGCCCACCAAGGCGACGAUCAGUAGCCGGACUGAGAGGUUGGCCGGCCACAUUGGGGCUGAGACACGGCCCAG
rnacentral:rRNA from 1 species